UACGUAGGGUGCAAGCGCUAAUCGGAAUUACUGGGCGUAAAGCGUGCGCAGGCGGUUUUGUAAGUCUGUCGUGAAAUCCCCGGGCUCAACCUGGGAAUGGCGAUGGAGACUGCAAGGCUAGAAUCUGGCAGAGGGGGGGUAGAAUUCCACGUGUAGCAGUGAAAUGCGUAGAGAUGUGGAGGAACACCGAUGGCGAAGGCAGCCCCCUGGGUCAAGAUUGACGCUCAUGCACGAAAAGCGUGGGGAGCAAACGAGG
rnacentral:rRNA from 1 species